UACGUAGGGGGCUAGCGUUGUCCGGAAUCAUUGGGCGUAAAGCGCGUGUAGGCGGUCCGGUAAGUCCGCUGUGAAAGUCGGGGGCUCAACCCUCGGAUGCCGGUGGAUACUGUCGGGCUUGAGUACGGAAGAGGCGAGUGGAAUUCCUGGUGUAGCGGUGAAAUGCGCAGAUAGUCAGGAGGAACACCAAUUGCGAAGGCAGCUCGCUGGGACGUUACUGACGCUGAGACGCGAAAGCGUGGGGAGCGAACAGG
rnacentral:rRNA from 1 species